UUGGGGUCAGAUGCUGUUCCAUAUAUAUAUCCAUGGUUACCAUGUUUUUUCUAUAUUGUCUUACAACUUGAUCUAUGUUUGUAUGAUCUGUCUUCUUUUUGGUAAAAACCCAGUUAUUCUUGUUAUUUAUUACAAUUACUCCUUAUUGUAAGCUGUUCCUGGCCUUUUCUCUUCCCUUCUCCUUCCUUAUCCUUCUUGCACGAUGGACUCUGAUGCCGAUGUGAGACCAUUGGCUCUGGAGGUAACCAGUGAAUCGAUCCAAAGUCAGCUGGAUUCCUUUACCGCGUAUUUGGCAUCCGGUAAUAUCUCUCCAAAUGAACUGGAAGUCAGGUAUAAGAGCGUCUUACCCCUUCUGGAUAGGCAAUCUCGGGUGAUUCAUGAAU